CCCCCCCACGAAACACUUCCGUCGGCCACCACGCGCCGGUCUCGCACCGCACCCAGUUCCGUCCCCACCCCGCUAUCGUUCGUCGACCACCGCGCAGCUCGCCGGAGACCCGCGCCAGCACCCUCACGCUCUCUCUCUUUCUCCUCGCGCGGUCUCUCACGCCCCUCUCCUUCUUCGCGUGACGCUGCUGCACGCGCAGCACUGCGGACGACCCACGAGCGCUGAACCGCCGGAGACCGUCGCCGGAGGUCGUCGUUGCUGCUCGCCGGCGUCCCUCCCUCAGGCGUGAUUUCGUCCUCCUGCUCCUAGUAGCAGAGAUUAAAGAAGAUAAAGGAUAUUACAAGCCUCCCCCGGCUAUCAUGGUUGGUAAGCAGGAAUUCAGGUAUGGGAGAACAGUUGUGGAUCACGAUUAUAUUGCGUUAUGAAGAUUAUGUAUGAUUCAUGAGGUUUUAAGAUACUUUGUAUAAUGGAUAAACAAGUAUUAUCUUGCGAUGAGUAAUUGUAUAGUGAAUUUUCAACUUUAGGCUA